GUUGAUGAUGGAGACGAUGGUACCCUGUCCAGAUGAUGAUUGAAGCAAGGAGAGCGUCGGUCUCGAAGAUUGCAGAGCAAGGGUUGGGAAUGGUUUGGAGCGCUGAAAUGGGUUUUGAAAAAACCCCUGUCGAUUACAUAGUAAUAUAAUACGGAACUUUAUAUUCCGUAUUGAAUACGAAAUUUAAUAUUCCGUAUUCUUGUAAAGGGGGUUUUUCCGUAAUUUCCCCACUUUAAGUGGGGCGCGGAGCCCCAUAGGGGGGCCCCAAACCCAACUC
rnacentral:lncRNA from 1 species